rnacentral:tRNA from 1 species
CAAAUUAUAGUUUAAAAUAAAAUAAUAAUUUUGGAGAUUAUUGAUGUUAAGUUAUUAUACUAAUUUGA